rnacentral:tRNA from 1 species
CCUCACUCCUCCCUAAGACU